CGCUCUAAAGUUUGGAAGUAACGAGAAGCUCACGGCAUCUGGAGCAGACGAGGCUCCCAACACUUUGUUUCCUGACUGGGGAGCAAUUCCCCACCAGGACAGCAGGGGGCGCAGCACUUCCGCUCAGGGAGAAGCAGGGUUCAACCUAAAAUGUGCCGGAUACCGGCCCUGGUGUAAACUUCUCCUUGCAUCUGCUCCGUGUCUGCUGCUAGACGGCGUCAGCACUGGGGGGUGGGGGGUGUUGUUGGAUAAGGCGGCAUGCUGACCAAUCCCAGGCUUGUGUUCUCUGUUCAUUUGUCAUGUUUAAAACUGGGCAUGUCUGUCAGAGUGCUGCACCCCCGCUGAUGAAGCAUAAAUUAGGCUUAAGGGUCGUUAUUCAUGUGUUUCUAAAUGCAGUUCAAUGCAUCUGCAGGUGUUUAAAAUCCCAUCAAAGUUUCUGUGAACCAGGUCUGCUUUCAUUUUCAGGCAUGACUACAAGAGCCAUAAACAACCGAGCCUUCAGCACCCCUGAUGGAACCAGGCUGACUCUGACGUUUAACGAAGGCCUCAGCACCAUCCUGAGUGACCCGGCGUCGAUUGCUGCGGGGAGCCGCGAGGUUCUUGAUGUAAGCUCAGAGGAGCCGCGAGCUGGAGCGUCACGGCUGUGGAACGUCGAGUCUCCGCUCCGACUCAAGAAAAGGCCGACCAGACGCUAACCGUCAGAUUUCUGCUCCUUUGUUAUUAUUUUCACUUUGUUUUGUUUUUUGUGGUUUUUGGGUCAAUAAAUUCAUUUAUAAGAUGUUUGAUUUGGUCAUUUUUGUAAGUUACAUUUGGAGUUUGGAUGUCGGAGAAUCCAUCAGUUCUUUGUCCUGCAGGUAAAUCUACAGAUGUCUCAUAUUAAUAAUGGUAGUAGUACUACUAUUAAUAUUUAUUCAUUUAUUAACUUACAUUUUUCAGGAAGAUAAACUGCUUGAGAUGUAACAUCUCAUUUUCGAUAGUAGUGGUAGUAGUACUAAUAGUAGUAGCAGCAGUUCUAAAAUUAUUUUAUUAAUAGUAGUAGUGGUACUAAUAUUAUUGGUAGUAGUGGUAGUAGUAGUAAUAGUAGUAGCAGCAUUUCUAAUAUUAUUACUAAUGGUAGUAGUAGUGGUACUAAUAAUAGUAGCAGCAGUUCUAAUUUUAUUAAUAAUAAUAGUACUAAUAUUAGUAGUGGUACUAAUAUUAUUAGUAGAAGUGGUACUAAUAUUGAUAGUAGUGGUAGUAGUACUAAUAAUAGUAGCAGCAGUUCUACUAUAAUUAUUGUAUUAAUAGUACUAGUGGUACUAAUAGUAGUAGUGGUACUAAUAUAAUUGAUAGUAGUGGUAGUAGUACUAAUAGCAACAGCAGUUCUAAUAUAAUUAUUUUAUUAGUAGUGGUAGUAGUACUAAUAGUAACAGCAGUUCUAAUAUAAUUAUUUUAUUAGUAGUAGUGGCACUAAUAUUGAUAGUAGCGGUAGUAGUACUAAUAGUAGUAGCGGCAGUUCUAAUAUUACUAAUAGUAGUAGUAGUGGUACUAAAUGGUAAAUGGCCUGUAUUUGAUAUAGCUCCUUCUAGAGUCCUGGAACCCCCCAAGGCACUUUACAACACAGUCAUUCACCCAUUCACACACACACAUUCACACACCGGUAGGGAUGAGCUACAAUGUAGCCACAGCUGCCCUGGGGCGCACUGACAGAGGCGAGGCUGCCGAGCACGCGCCACCGGUCCCUCUGACCACCACCAGCAGGCAACGUGGGUUAAGCGUCUUGCCCAAGGACACAACGACAGCGACAGACUGAGAGGGGCUCAAACCUGCAACCUUCCGAUUGCGGGGCGAGCACUUAACUCCUGUGCCACCGUCGCCCCACCGUACUAAUACCGUACUAAUAUUGAUAGUAGUGGUAGUAGUACUAAUAAUAGUAGCAGCAGUUCUAAUAUUAUUACUAAUAGUAGUAGUAGUAGUGGUACUAAUAUUGAUAGUAGUGGUAGUAGUACUAAUAAUAGUAGCAGCAGUUCUAAUAUUAUUACUAAUAGUAGUAGUAGUGGUACUAAUAUUUAUAGUAGUUGUUUUGUUCUUUAAGCGUUGGUGAAGAAUCACACAGCAGACCAUUUCGUGUCUCUGAGCCUCCAGCUCAAACAAACAUUUCUGUGGUCUUCUUCCUUGUGCUGCCCUAAUGUGCUCUUUAAAAAACAGUGACCUCUGCUGGUCACUCAUGUAAAACAGUGACUUUCUACAACACCGCAACACAUCCCCUUUCCUCUGAGGUAUGAACAACAAGCUUAACUAUAAUUAACGACAAGAACAUUGCUAUGCAUAACUAAGUCUAACUGGCUGUCUGAUUGUACGCUGCGACCUCAGUGCAGGUUCUGGAGAAACAUCAACAUCAUACACAUCAGUUAAUGUCUCUACAUGGGGUACAUCAGCAUUUAUAGCUUCCUCACAUUGUCCUUCCUGAAAAGUCUCUUUGCUCUUCAGCAGAUGGCGACGAUUCCGUCUGAGCGCCUGACCUUCUUCAGUCUUUACAUGAUAGGAUCUUGGGCCUGCGUUCAAAGUUGUACUUCUGCUAUUUCAUGACAAGCCGUUGAAUCCGUGACGACAUUCAUUUAGAUUCUUCUUGAUGAUGGACACCAGAGGGCGAUGAUCUGUCUCAACUGUAAAUGCAGGCAGACCAUAAACAUAGCAGUGAAAAAUCUCCAGUCCAUAUGCCAAUCCAGGACACUCUUUCUCAACCUGUGCAUAUUUAACUUCAGCCGUGGACAUAGAUCUAGAAGCAUAAGCAACUGGCUUCCAGCUCCCCCCAUCAGCUUGAAGUAAGACAGCCCCAAGUCCAUCCUUCGAGGCAUCUGUCGAGAUCUUCAGACUUUUAGUUGGAUCAAAAUACGCAAGUACUGGGUGAGAUGUCAGUGUGGUCUUUAAAUCCUUCCAUUCCUUCUUAUGCUUCUCUGUCCACUUGAAGUCUACAGAAUCAUGAAG
ensembl:lncRNA